GACGAACGCUGGCGGCGUGCUUAACACAUGCAAGUCGAACGGAAAGGCCUGCUUUCCCUUGUGGAUUGCGGGUACUCGAGUGGCGAACGGGUGAGUAACACGUGAGUGAUCUGCCCCCAACUUGGGUAUAAGCCUGGGAAACUGGGUCUAAUUCCCGAUAGGACUGCAGGGUGGUGCCUGUGGUGGAAAACGAGCUGCUAGUGGUUGGGGAUGAGCUCGCGGCCUAUCAGCUUGGUGGUGGGGUAAUGGCCUACCAAGGCGGCGACGGGUAGCCGGCCUGCGAGUGUCCACUGUCGAACUGAGACUGAGACACGGCCCAGACUCCUACCGGAGGCAGCAGUUUGGUGCGUUACUCCAUGUGCGUAAGCCUGCUGCGCCGAGGGCGUGUGGAAGGUGUCGGCCUUCGAGUUGUCUCCUCCUUUCGACCACGAGGAUGCCACCUGGUUGGGAGGGUGUUGACGGUAGUGGUAGAAGAAGCACCGGCUAACUACGUG
rnacentral:rRNA from 1 species